GAUGAACGCUGGCGGCGUGCCUAAUACAUGCAAGUCGAGCGAACGGACGAGAAGCUUGCUUCUCUGAUGUUAGCGGCGGACGGGUGAGUAACACGUGGAUAACCUACCUAUAAGACUGGGAUAACUUCGGGAAACCGUAGCUAAUACCGGAUAAUAUUUUGAACCGCAUGGUUCAAAAGUGAAAGACGGUCUUGCCGUCACUUAUAGAUGGAUCCGCGCUGCAUUAGCUAGUUGGUAAGGUAACGGCUUACCAAGGCAACGAUGCAUAUCCGACCUGAGAGGGUGAUCGGCCAAACUGGAACUGAGACACGGUCCAGACUCCUACGGGAGGCAGCAGUAGGGAAUCUUCCGCAAUGGGCGGAAGCCUGACGGAGCAACGCCGCGUGAGUGAUGAAGGUCUUCGGAUCGGAAAACUCUGUUAUUAGGGAAAAACAUAUGUGUAAGUAACUGUGCACAUCUUGACGGUACCUAAUCAGAAAGCCACGGCUAACUACGUU
rnacentral:rRNA from 1 species